UACGUAGGGUGCAAGCGUUGUCCGGAAUUAUUGGGCGUAAAGGGCGCGUAGGCGGCUGAACAAGUCAAAGGUGAAAUCCCUCGGCUCAACUGAGGAACUGCCUUUGAAACUGUUCGGCUUGAGGCCGGGAGGGGGUAGCGGAAUUCCCAGUGUAGCGGUGAAAUGCGUAGAUAUUGGGAGGAACACCAGUGGCGAAGGCGGCUACCUGGACCGGUUCUGACGCUGAGGCGCGAAAGCGUGGGUAGCAAACAGG
rnacentral:rRNA from 1 species